UGUGUGUAUGUGUGUAUGUAUGUGUAUAUAUUUAUAUAUAUAAAUAUAUAUACAUAUAUAUAUAUAUAUAUAUAUAUAUAUAUAUAUAUAUACACGGCGUGUGUGUUUGUGCUUUAGUGUGCACACCCUUAUACAUUAGGCUGCGCACGCCUAUGGCAACCCCAUAGUUGCGCAGGAACUUUGUUGACUCUAGAGAACCUCGGGCAAAUCGCACAUCCCCGUGACGGCGACUUUGCAUGUGGAUGUCAUCCAUAUCAACUUUCAAUGCCAGUUUCUGCACCUACUAUGGUGACCACGGGUAACAAUAAAUCAGGGUUCCAUUCCGUACAGGGACCCUGAGAAACGGCUACCACAUGCAAGGAAGGCAGCAGGCGCGCAAAUGACACUCCCAACGCGGGAAGGUAGUGACGACAAUUAACAAUACAGGACUCUUUAGAGGCAUAGUAAUUGUAAUGAGUCCACUUGAAAUCCUUUAACUCUGAUCAACUGGAGGGAAGUCUGGUGCAGAGCCACUGAACCAUGGGUGCUGCAGCUGAAACUCCACU